AGCACCAUGGUUGAAAAUGUAUGUUUGAAAUAAAGAUGACUGCGAGUAGCGAUUGACAGUUGUUAGAAGGUAACUAAGAGAAACCUAAUAGAUGAAUGGAUCGAUAUUUUACCUUGGCUUGUAACUCUGUCAUGAAUACUUGGUCCCUGUACAGCAUCCUUUAUUUUCAGAUGACUGGCUCUCUGUGGUGGACAGCAUUUUGUGUGCUUUCCCCUACCCUGCCUCACAUUUACAUGUUGAAACCAGAACCUCCAAUUGGAUGGUAUUUGGAGGUUAAGCCCUUAACAUGUGAAGUUAUAAUGAGAAGAUUGUUGUCUGUAAACCAAGAAGAGGGGACUCACUAAGGACCCAACCAUGCUGGCACCUGAUCUCAGACUUCCAACCUUCAGAACUAUCAUCAUUGGAAAAUGCAGUCAAGCAGUCAUGGCCUGAAGAAGGGCAGGAGAUGAAAAACACACAAAAUCAAGGACGUAGUUUCUAGACAAACUGCUUUGGCAGACUUAAGAGAUAUUGUUAGAGAAUUGUGGAGUAAAAAAGACAUUUGUCAGGAUAUAGAGAGAUGAGGUCGGUCAGUCAGGAAUGAAACAGUAAAGAACAAAGUCAGAACACAACUUACAGGACAUUUUGAUAAGAGCCGGUCACAGAAAAUUCGGGCUCAUAGAGGUCAAGCUUUUCCAGCCUGAUGCAAACUUUUGAAGAUAUUACUGUCACGAUCAAUAAGGAAAAUUCAAGUGAGGGAGUUGUACUUUGCUUUUUCUAAAAUGACUUUAACCGUGUUCUACAUCAGAGAGCUGAGCUGCUAAGGUGAGGUGCCACUGGAUAGGAAUGGGCAAGAAGUGGGUAGAAAGACGGGCUCAUGGCCUAGUGACAGGAAGUUCAAAAUGCUUUGAUGUGUU